UAGGGAAUCUUCGGCAAUGGACGGAAGUCUGACCGAGCAACGCCGCGUGAGGGAAGAAGGUUUUCGGAUCGUAAAGCUCUGUUGGUAGAGAAGAACGUUGGUAGGAGUGGAAAAUCUACAAAGUGACGGUAACUAACAAGAAAGGGACGGCUAACUACGUGCCAGCAGCCGCGGUAAUACGUAGGUCGCGAGCGUUGUCCGGAUUUAUUGGGCGUAAAGCGAGCGCAGGCGGUUCUGUAAGUCUGAAGUUAAAGGCAGUGGCUUAACCAUUGUACGCUUUGGAAACUGGAGGACUUGAGGGCAGAAGGGGAGAGUGGAAUUCCAUGUUUAGCGGUGAAAUGCGUAGAUAUAUGGAGGAACCCCGGUGGCGAAAGCGGCUCUCUGGUCUGUAACUGACGCUGAGGCUCGAAAGCGUGGGGAGCAAACAGG
rnacentral:rRNA from 1 species